GAAAGAGGAUAUGAGAUGAGAGAGUCAAGGGGGAAGACUUAAAAAGGAGGACAGGCAGUGCAGAGUCACUUCUCAUGAUGGAUUGCUCUGCGGGCUGCUCAAGGCAAAGCUGUUUUUUAGGGAGGAGGAAAGUCCUGGGGGACGGAGCGGGGAUUUGGGAGGACGACGUCGUCACCCCGCGUCUGAACAGGAAGCUGCGAGAUCUGGGAGGUAGUCUUGACACGUGCCUCGUCAUUGUGUACCUUGACUUCUCAAUAAAAGCAGACGGGAAUGCUUCAAGUGGAAAGAGGAGGGUGAAGAUAUGACAGGAGGCGAAGCAACAAGCUGUUAUUUGAAUUCCCCGCCCAUUGUCAUCUCCACCAGAGAGGUUUUGAACUUUUUACAUCACUUUGGCUUGUUGCUAAGAGAGACUCUGUCAAGUGAGUGUGACACUAAGAUGGAGACUGGUGAAUCGAGGGCCAUGAGAGACCCAUGCGCACAAAAAAAAAAAAAAAAAAAAAAAUCCACUUCCUGUUCUGUGAAGCCAGGGGAGGGCAGGGCUUUUGUGGAAGACUUUGCACUUGGCCUGCGCAUGCAAGCACGAUUAAUCAUACGCACGUAGGCACACGUGUGUUUUGCAAAAUAAAAAAAUAAAUAAAUAAAACCAGCCCUUAAAGUUACGAAGCUUUUAUAAGAAGUUUGCCUAAUAGCGCAAACAACAAAAUUGAGUAAUUUUGUUUCUUUCAGGAGUCUCUCUAAGCAAAUGAACACAAUAUCAGAGCAUAAUGUUCUUGGUUGAGUUAAAGGAUCAGUUUAUAAAAUAAACCAGCCACUUUCUUCAAGAUGAUAGUAAUAUUGGUUUGACUGUUUCCAAUAAAAUUAAUCCGGCUUGAUGUUGGGAUUCUUCUUCUUUUCCUUUCGGGUUGUCCUGUUAGGCGUCGCCACAGCGUGUCAUCUUUUUCCAUCUAAGCCUAUCUCGUGCAUCUUCCUCUCGAACACCCAGUGUCCUCAUAUCUUCCCUCACAAUAUACAUCAACCUUUGCUUUGGUCUUCCUCUCGCUCAUUUGCCUGGCAGCUCCAUCUUCAGCACCCUUCUACCAAUAUACUCACUCUCUCGUCUCUGAAUGUGUCCAAACCAUCGAAGUCUGCUCUUGUCUCCAAAACAUCCAGCUUUGGCCGUCCCUCGAAUGAGCUCAUUUCUAACCCUAUCCAACCUGCUCACUCCGAGCGAGAACCUCAAGGUCUUCAUUUCUGCCACCUCCAGUUCUGCUUCCUGUUGUCACUUCAGUGCCACCAUCUCUAAUCGGUACAUCAUGGCCGGUCUCACCACUGCUUUAUAAACAUUGCCCUCCAUCCUAGGAGAGACUCUUCUGUCCAGACACCUUCCACCAACUGUUCCACGCGUUUCUUCACUUCCUUCCCACACGCUCCAUUGCUCUGUAUUGUUGACCCCAAAUAUUUUAAGUCGUCCACCCUCGCUAUCGCUUCACCCUUCCCCCUCCACCCAUCUCAUUCCCGCACAUAUAUUCUGUUUUACUUCGGCUAAUUUUUAUUCCUCUCCUUUCCAGAGCAUGCCUCAAACAUUCUAACUAUUCCACCACCUGCAUAUCACAAUAUCAUCUGCAAACAUCAUGGUCCAAGGGGAUUCUAGUCUAACCUCAUCAGUCAGCCUAUCCAUUACCACAGAAAACAGGAAGUGGCUCAGAGCUGAUCCCUGAUGCAUCCCCACCUUCACCUUAAAUUCUUCUCUUAUGCCUACGGCACACUUCACCACUGUUCUGCUUCUCUCAUGCAUGUCCUGUACUAUUCUAACAUAUGUUCCAAUAAAAUAAUCUGAUUUGAUGUUGGGAUUCUGAUUCUUCGAAUUGAUUUAGUGUGUAAAAGACUUCCAAACUUUUGCUUGAGAAGCAAAGCUAAUUAAUCUCAAAUGUCUCUCGUUACACUCCAGAUAAAAAAUUUACCGGAAACUGGAGUUGUUGAUCCAUGCACAUGAUGUGCCCUGAGUGUUUUUGUUGAUUGAGCUCAUAAAAGACAGCAAACCACACGAACAAAACAAACUUUUCCGGUUUGACGACCGAGCUAUACAUGUUGUGAAUACCUUGUGU